CUUGACCGACCCGAGGUACAGCGGCCGGUCGGCCGGGCGGUCCCGGCCGUAGGUCGCGACGAUCGCCUGGGCCUC
rnacentral:antisense_RNA from 1 species